rnacentral:tRNA from 1 species
UGUGCCCAUAGCUCAACUGGAUAGAGCACCCCGAUACAAUCGGGGAGGUUGGGGGUUCAAGUCCCUUACAA